CACGUAGGGUCCGAGCGUUGUCCGGAAUUACUGGGCGUAAAGCGCGCGCAGGCGGUCCAUUCAGUCGCUGGUGAAAGCCCCACGCUCAACGUGGGAAGGUCCGGCGAGACGGGUGGACUGGAGGCAGGGAGAGGUCGGUGGAAUUCCGGGUGUAGUGGUGAAAUGCGUAGAGAUCCGGAGGAACACCAGAGGCGAAGGCGGCCGACUGGACCUGACCUGACGCUGAGGCGCGAAGGCGUGGGGAGCGAACGGGG
rnacentral:rRNA from 1 species